rnacentral:rRNA from 1 species
UGUAACCCCAGAUGGUUAUUAUUUUACUGACGAUUUCACGCAAGGUGUCGGUAAAUUAAAAGAGGGGAUGAUUUCAUUUCACCCCCCUCAAAUCGAUAAAUCAAAAUUGCUUAAAUUAAAUUAGUGUCUAUGUUUAUCCUUUUUUAAAGGAACUGGAUCAAAUCCACCUUUAUGAAGAGGAUGACAUUUAAGAAUGCGACGAAUUCCCAUAUAGCCACCUUUGAAUGGGCCAUAAACUUCAAUCGCUUCUCGCGUAUAUUCUGAGCACGUAGGAUAAAAUCUGCAUGUAGGUGGCGUCAUAGGUGAAAUAUAGCGUUGAUAGAUAUGGAUUAUUCCAAGAAAUAAUUUUUUUAACAUUAUAGGCCUCCAACCAGUAAUACGAUUAUAAAUUAGUUUAACAUAUUGAAGGGAGUAGUAUGGAACAUGGAGUUUCUAGAUAAAGAUAAUAGACGUGUCACAAUGAGUUACAAAACGAACAACGACUGUCCUGAUGGUAAUCAUGUUUUAGCUAUUCCACUAUAUAAGAACCAGUUACUUUUUACUCAGCACAAAAUGCGUGGCAUUGAGUUUCCAGGUGGUAAGGUUGAAGAAGGAGAACAAAGUAUACAAGCAAUCAAGAGAGAACUUUUUGAAGAAACAGGAGGCAUACCUGAAACGAUAGAUUAUAUUGCUCAGUAUCAGGUUCAUACAUUCGAUAACUCAAUUUUCAAAAAAGAUGUAUAUAUCGUGAAGGUUAAAUCAUUUGAAGAGAAAAGUGAUUAUUUAGAAACGAGAGGGCCAUUAUUAUUUGAUAAUAUUAAUUCUAUUCCAUUAGAUAAACAAAGUUAUUUAAUACAAGAUAAUGCAAUUCUUAAAUGUGUCGAGAGGAUGAUAGAACUUGGAUAUUAUCGCGACUAAGAAAAUGCCUAUAGCAUCAAGAACGCAUCAAUUCGAUGAAAUUACCUAUAAAGUUGAGGGUUUAAAAGUAAAAGCAUUACAGAUGUGCCCUUUAAAGAAGACAGUAAAAAGAAUCGUAGUAUAUUUGCGAGGAGGUAAGGGACAAGUCGGACGUGUACGUGCAGCAAGACUAAUGCAGUUUGCAAAUGAAAAUACCUUAGUUGUAGGUCCUUACUAUAGAGGAAGUAAUGGAAGUGAAGGUAGAGAUGAGUUUGCUAACGCUGAUUUAAAAGAUGUUACCUAUCUCAUAAAGAUACUUAAACAACGAUUUCCUAAUGCAUAUAUACACAUGAUUGGUUUCUCAAGAGGUGGAAUACAAGGACUACUUACAUAUCAAGAUUACCCAGUCGAUAGUUACAUCAUCUGGGGUGGUGUAUCAAGUAUGCACUUGAUGUAUGAAGAACGUACUGAUUUAAGAGGGAUGUUGCGUCGAAUGGUAGGACAUCCUUCCAAAAAUAAAGAAUCUUAUGACCAAAGAGAUGCGAUAAAACUUAUUGAUUCUAAUAGUUCANAAGCAGUGAGAUUGAGUGUUAGGCAAAUCCGGCACUCUUAAGAUUGAGCUGUGAUGGGGAGAGGAAAUUGUUUCCUCGAGUCGUUGAUUUCACACUGCCGAGAAAAGCCUCUAGAUAGAUAAUAGGUGCCCGUACCGCAAACCGACACAGGUAGUCAAGAUGAGAAUUCUAAGGUGAGCGAGCGAACUCUCGUUAAGGAACUCGGCAAAAUGACCCCGUAACUUCGGGAGAAGGGGUGCUCUUUAGGGUGCAAGCCCAGAAGAGCCGCAGUGAAUAGGCCCAAGCGACUGUUUAUCAAAAACACAGGUCUCUGCUAAACCGUAAGGUGAUGUAUAGGGGCUGACGCCUGCCCGGUGCUGGAAGGUUAAGAGGAGUGGUUAGCUUCUGCGAAGCUACGAAUCGAAGCCCCAGUAAACGGCGGCCGUAACUAUAACGGUCCUAAGGUAGCGAAAUUCCUUGUCGGGUAAGUUCCGACCCGCACGAAAGGCGUAACGAUUUGGGCACUGUCUCAACGAGAGACUCGGUGAAAUCAUAGUACCUGUGAAGAUGCAGGUUACCCGCGACAGGACGGAAAGACCCCGUGGAGCUUUACUGUAGCCUGAUAUUGAAAUUCGGCACAGCUUGUACAGGAUAGGUAGGAGCCUUUGAAACGUGAGCGCUAGCUUACGUGGAGGCGCUGGUGGGAUACUACCCUAGCUGUGUUGGCUUUCUAACCCGCACCACUUAUCGUGGUGGGAGACAGUGUCAGGCGGGCAGUUUGACUGGGGCGGUCGCCUCCUAAAAGGUAACGGAGGCGCUCAAAGGUUCCCUCAGAAUGGUUGGAAAUCAUUCAUAGAGUGUAAAGGCAUAAGGGAGCUUGACUGCGAGACCUACAAGUCGAGCAGGGUCGAAAGACGGACUUAGUGAUCCGGUGGUUCCGCAUGGAAGGGCCAUCGCUCAACGGAUAAAAGCUACCCCGGGGAUAACAGGCUUAUCUCCCCCAAGAGUUCACAUCGACGGGGAGGUUUGGCACCUCGAUGUCGGCUCAUCGCAUCCUGGGGCUGUAGUCGGUCCCAAGGGUUGGGCUGUUCGCCCAUUAAAGCGGUACGCGAGCUGGGUUCAGAACGUCGUGAGACAGUUCGGUCCCUAUCCGUCGUGGGCGUAGGAAAUUUGAGAGGAGCUGUCCUUAGUACGAGAGGACCGGGAUGGACAUACCUCUGGUGUACCAGUUGUCGUGCCAACGGCAUAGCUGGGUAGCUAUGUAUGGACGGGAUAAGUGCUGAAAGCAUCUAAGCAUGAAGCCCCCCUCAAGAUGAGAUUUCCCAACUUCGGUUAUAAGAUCCCUCAAAGAUGAUGAGGUUAAUAGGUUCGAGGUGGAAGCGUGGUGACACGUGGAGCUGACGAAUACUAAUCGAUCGAAGACUUAAUC